rnacentral:rRNA from 1 species
UACAGAGGUCUCAAGCGUUGUUCGGAUUCAUUGGGCGUAAAGGGUGCGUAGGCGGCGCGGUAAGUCGGGUGUGAAAUCUCGGGGCUUAACUCCGAAACUGCAUUCGAUACUGCCGUGCUUGAGGACUGGGAGAGGAGACUGGAAUUUACGGUGUAGCGGUGAAAUGCGUAGAUAUCGUAAGGAAGACCAGUGGCGAAGGCGGGUCUCUGGACAGUUCCUGACGCUGAGACACGAAGGCCAGGGGAGCAAACGGG